rnacentral:rRNA from 1 species
UACAUGCAAGUCGAACGAACUUCCGUUAAUUGAUUAUGACGUACUUGUACUGAUUGAGAUUUUAACACGAAGUGAGUGGCGAACGGGUGAGUAACACGUGGGUAACCUGCCCAGAAGUAGGGGAUAACACCUGGAAACAGAUGCUAAUACCGUAUAACAGAGAAAACCGCAUGGUUUUCUUUUAAAAGAUGGCUCUGCUAUCACUUCUGGAUGGACCCGCGGCGUAUUAGCUAGUUGGUGAGGUAAAGGCUCACCAAGGCAGUGAUACGUAGCCGACCUGAGAGGGUAAUCGGCCACAUUGGGACUGAGACACGGCCCAGACUCCUACGGGAGGCAGCAGUAGGGAAUCUUCCACAAUGGACGCAAGUCUGAUGGAGCAACGCCGCGUGAGUGAAGAAGGGUUUCGGCUCGUAAAGCUCUGUUGUUAAAGAAGAACGUGGGUAAGAGUAACUGUUUACCCAGUGACGGUAUUUAACCAGAAAGCCACGGCUAACUACGUGCCAGCAGCCGCGGUAAUACGUAGGUGGCAAGCGUUAUCCGGAUUUAUUGGGCGUAAAGCGAGCGCAGGCGGUCUUUUAAGUCUAAUGUGAAAGCCUUCGGCUCAACCGAAGAAGUGCAUUGGAAACUGGGAGACUUGAGUGCAGAAGAGGACAGUGGAACUCCAUGUGUAGCGGUGAAAUGCGUAGAUAUAUGGAAGAACACCAGUGGCGAAGGCGGCUGUCUGGUCUGCAACUGACGCUGAGGCUCGAAAGCAUGGGUAGCGAACAGGAUUAGAUACCCUGGUAGUCCA